UUGAAGUCAGGCCACUUGUGCCACGGCUUGAGCAAACCGUGCUGCCUGUAGCUCCGCCAACAAUGGGAGGCGUAAUAAUCCCUGGGGAGGCCAUGCGCCACGGAAGCUGUACGCGUGGCAUAUUGGACUAGYGGUUAGAGGAGACCCCUCCCAUCACUGACAAAACGCAGCAAAAGGGGGCCCGAAGCCAGGAGGAAGCUGUACUCCUGGUGGAAGGACUAGAGGUUAGAGGAGACCCCCCCAACACAAAAACAGCA
rnacentral:lncRNA from 1 species